rfam:Perkinsus marinus ATCC 50983 gcontig_1104296372780, whole genome shotgun sequence.
GGCAGCGUGUCCGAGUGAUCAAGGAGGUGGACUCGCAACCCACUGCGCUUUACUCGCGCAGGUUCGAGUCCCGCCGCUGUCG